rnacentral:tRNA from 1 species
GUAGCUCAGCUGGAUAGAGCGUUCGCCUCCUAAGCGGAAGGCAAGCCGUCCGCCUUCGUUUUUCCGGCCCA